CAAUAGCGUAUAUUAAAGUUGCUGCAGUUAAAAAGCUCGUAGUUGGAUUUCUGGUGGGAGCGAUCGGUCUGGCGCAUAGCGCGAGUACUUGCAUCGUCUCCGGCCAUCCUUGGGGAGAGUCUGUCUGGCAUUAGGUUGUCGGGCAGAGGAUCCUCAUCGUUUACUGUGAAAAAAUUAGAGUGUUCAAAGCAGGCUUAUGCCGUUGAAUAUAUUAGCAUGGAAUAAUAAGAUAGGACUUUGGUACUAUUUUGUUGGUUUGCGCACCAAAGUAAUGAUUAAUAGGGACAGUUGGGGGUAUUCGUAUUCCGUUGUCAGAGGUGAAAUUCUUGGAUUUACAGAAGACGAACUACUGCGAAAGCAUUUACCAAGGAUGUUUUCAUUAA
rnacentral:rRNA from 1 species